ACAAUAGCUCAUGGGUACCACAGAUAACUUUGCCAAAGUUCUCUGCCAAAGUUGAGCACGUGAAGCUUGCAGCUCCCACUACAUCGCUCUGACCAAGAAGGGUAAAAGAAUAGCAAAGAAACAGCACUAACAAAGUUUAGACCCAUAAAUUUUGAAGGUCUAGCUACCAUAUUAUUACCCACAAGGGUAAAUGAACAGUACCACUGCUGGAUAAUUGGAAAGUCCCUGUGUGUCAACCUCUGUGCUUCGUGGCAAGGUAGACUAGCAAACAUGCCCAAUCUUUACUCACAUUCGAGAAAACACUCCCAAUAAGAUUGCUUGCUCCAAAAUCGAAGAGGCACCGUCCUCCGAAUCUCGAGAGCCAGACUCCCAACAUGACUACUUUAUUAAAAAUCGAAGAGAGGGUAAAGGAACAGUACCAUUGCUGGAUAAUUGGAAAGUCCCUGUGUGUCAACCUCUGUGCUUCGUGGCAAGGUAGACUAGCAAACAUGCCCAACCUUUACUCACAUUCGAGAAAACACUCCCAACAAGAUUGCUUGCUCCAAAAUCGAAGAGGCACCGCCUUCCGAAUCUCGAGAGCCAGACUCCCAACAUGAUUACUUUCUCAAAAAUCGAAGAGACACUGCUCCCCGAAUCUUCGAGAGCCAAACCUCCAGCAUGAUUGUUUUCUCAAAAAUCGAUGAGGCAUCGUUCUCCGAAUCAAUCGAAGAGGCGCUCGCUUUCUCAAAAGCUGGGCUGCUCAGAGACCACGAGGGCCGAUCUCAGAAAUCGAAGAGGCACCUACUUUUCUAGCCUUGUCAGCACCUGUCACACGCACACUCAGCUUUGCAGAAAUUAUGGGCAUUCUGUCGAAGAUUUCUGGUGAAGUAGAAAACACAUGAAUCUUACUGUUCAAUUAUCCACUUCCCACACGCAACAAUAGCUCAUGGGUACCACAGAUAACUUUGUCAAAGUUCUCUGCCAAAGUUGAGCACGUGAAGCUUGCAGCUCCCACUACAUCGCUCUGACCAAGAAAGGUAAAAGAAGAGCAAAGAAACAGCACUAACAAAGUUUAGACACAUAAAUUUUGAAGGUCUAGCUACCAUAUUAUUACCCACAAGGGUAAAGGAACAGUACCACUGCUGGAUAAUUGGAAAGUCCCUGUGUGUGUCAACCUCUGUGCUGCUUCGUGGCAAGGUAGACUAGCAAACAUGCCCAACCUUUACUCACAUUCGAGAAAACACUCCCAACAAGAUUGCUUGCUCCAAAAUCGAAGAGGCACCGUCCUCCGAAUCUCGAGAGCCAGACUCCCAACAUGACUACUUUCUCAAAAUCGAAGAGAGGGUAAAGGAACAGUACCAUUGCUGGAUAAUUGGAAAGUCCCUGUGUGUCAACCUUUGUGCUUCGUGGCAAGGUAGACUAGCAAACAUGCCCAACCUUUACUCAAAUUCGAGACAACACUCCCAACAAGAUUGCUUGCUCCAAAAUCGAAGAGGCACCGCCCUCCGAAUCUCGAGAGCCAGACUCCCAACAUGAUUACUUCCUCAAAAAUCGAAGAGACACUGCUCUCCGAAUCUCGAGAGCCAGACCCCCAGCAUGAUUGCUUUCUCAAAAAUCGAAGAGGCAUCGUUCUCCGAAUCUCGAGAGCCAGAUACCACAGACCACUUUUUCAAAGUGCUCUGACAGAGUUAAAACAUGUGAAACUGACAUCUCCCACUACCGUGCUAUGACCAAGCAGGGUAAAGGAAUAGCAUUAUUACUUGUUAGGGAGACGCCUAUAUAUGUCGACCUCCAUCCCCAACGGACAGGCAGACCUGCAAAAAUGCUCAACCCUUCAUCAUAUCUGAGAGGGCACUCCCAACGAAGCCUUUCGAAAUAUUCAGCUUUCUUUCCCCCCGAUAAUACCUCUGCAAACAAGCUAUACUAGAGCAAGAAUAUCUCAUAUCAUCAGG
rnacentral:lncRNA from 1 species